rnacentral:rRNA from 1 species
CUCAAAUCAGAUGAGAAUACCCGCUGAACUUAAGCAUAUCAAUAAGCGGAGGAAAAGAAACUAACAAGGAUUCCCUCAGUAACGGCGAGUGAAGAGGGAAGAGCUCAGUUUUGAAAUCUGGCAGUCAUUCCACUGUCCGAGUUGUAAAUUGAAGAGAAUGUCAUCCACACUGGACCAUGUCUAAAUUGUAAUAAUCCACAGUCCUUUGAUGGAGUAUCAGAGAGGGUAAUAAUCCCGUCUUUAACGUGGACCACCAGUGUUUAUGUGAUGCACUCUCUCAGAGUCGAGUAGUUUGGGAAUGCUGCUCUAAUGGGAGGUAAACUCCUUCUAAAGCUAAAUAUUGGCGAGAGACCGAUAGCGAACAAGUACCGUGAGGGAAAGAUGAAAAGAACUCUGAAAAGAGAGUCAAACAGAACGUGAAAUUGCUGAAAGGGAAGCGUUUGGAGUCAGAUGCAUCCUCAAUGUAAUACGGCUCAGUUGGCAGAGACUGAGAGCAGUGACUCGAAGAUGGGCCAGCACUCACGUAGAUCAUUGGAGAAGGGGUCAUGGAAUGUAGCUCAAUUCUUGAGUGUUUAUAGACUUGAUUCAUAUACAAUGUGUCUUAUGUGUGUUAAUUGACAGCACGAGUCUGACUCAGUGCUGACUGGCAUAAUG